UUUUUUUGUUGGAAGGCAAGUUUGGUGCCCGCCGCCCCCGUAACUCCCACAAUUUAGAAUUUAUAUGAAUGUUGUUUCAAUUAAAACCCUUGUAGUUGGAAGGAAAAAAUAUUUUGGAGGGCAAGUCUGGUGCCAGCAGCCACGGUAAUCAGCUCAUAGCGUAUAUUAAAGUUGUUGCAGUUAAAAAGCUCGUAGUUGAACUUCGGGGUUCACCCAUUGGUCAGGCUUAAUUGUCUGCACUGGUGAGAUGAGUCUCUACCUUCUGAGGAACUUUCAUGUCAUUAAUUUGGUGUGAUUGGAAAUCAGGACUGUUACUUUGAAAAAAUUAGAGUGUUUAAAGCAGGCUAACGUCUGAAUACAUUAGCAUGGAAUAAUGAAAUAGGACGGACUGAUUCUAUUUCGUUGGUUUCUAGGAUCACCGUAAUGAUUAAUAGGGAUAGUUGGGGGCAUUAGUAUUCAAUUGUCAGAGGUGAAAUUCUUGGAUUUAUUGAAGACUAACUACUGCGAAAGCAUUUGCCAAGGAUGUUUUCAUUAAUCAAGAACGAAAGUUAGGGGAUCGAAGACGAUCAGAUACCGUAGUAGUCUUAACCAUAAACUAUGCCGACUAGGGAUCGGACGAAGUUAAUUUAUAAUGACCGGUCCCCACCUUACGGGAAACCAAAGUGUUUUGGGUUCCAAAAAAGAAGGAAGAAGAAAAAAAAAGGCAAAAAGACUAGAUAAGAAAGAAAAAAAAAAACUCCUUCUUAUUUUUUAUUGGAAACCAAACGGUUUGGGUUAAGUCAAAA
rnacentral:rRNA from 1 species